GGUGGAUGUGAAGCUAGCGGCGGAGAUUAAACUGUUACGUUUAUGUUCAUAUUUGUUGGCACGCCGUCCACACGGGAUGAAGUCCAUCCAAAAUCUUCGCUGUUGUGCAUAUGCCUUGACAAGACUAACAGUAAAGGAGAGCGAUGUCCCCACCAGCAGUUAAAUUCCUGGACAAGAUAAACCUCCAGGCAGAAAUAAAGGUGUAAGGACAACAGACGGCGGAAAGCGCUUCCACUGCAAGCCGGUGUGUGUGGUCAUUUGUGUGUGUGUGUGUGUGUUUAUGGUUGUGUAUGUUUAUGAGUGAGUGGCACAGCAGCUGGGGGUUGUAACGUGAUGCCAAGAUGCUGCUGUCUCUGGGAAUGCUGAUGCUUUCGGCCACACAGAUUUACACCAUCUUCACCGUUCAGCUCUUCGCCUUCCUCAACCUGCUGCCCGUGGGGGCCGACAUCGCAGCUUACUCAUUUGACAACAAGACUGAUAACUUUGAUGACCUGCCUGCACGGUUUGGUUAUCGGCUACCCAGCGAUGGACUGAAGGUGAGUGCUGGAGG